AUAAUGAAAGAAUGCCAAAGUGCAAAAAAGUAUUUAAUUGAAAAAUGGGCCAAUGAUUGUGUCUAUAUUUUAACAAUUCUGAAAGAUGAUUGGGCACCCUUAGUCCCCAUUCAGGAAAAUGACUCAUUAGAAAAUAUAGAAUGUUUUUUCUCAUCAAUUUCUGCUACGAUGUAUCGUUUGCUUUAUUAUUCUGUAAUAGAAAAUCUAGAAAGAUGGAUAAUGUUUUUGAAAAAUUAUAAGGAAGAAAAUAAGUUAUAUGAAGAUUUGAAACAAAGAGAAUUAUUUAAUCCUUCUCUUAUUAUUAUAAAGGUUGUUAUAAAAAAUCAAAAGCUAGAAUUUGAGCCAAAAUUAAAUGAAAUUAAAGAAAAUAUUGAACAAUUUAUAAAAGAAAUAAUAUCAACAGUUAA